UACAGAGGUGUCAAGCGUUGCUCGGUGUCACUGGGCUUAAAGGGCGCGUAGGCUGUGCAGUACGGCUCGGGUGAAAUCCCUCGCCCAACCGAGGAACCGCCCGGGCGACGGCUGUGCUGGACUGCAUCAGGGGCGGAUGGAACUCCCGGUGGAGCGGUGAAAUGCGUAGAUAUCGGGAGGAACGCCGGUGGCGAAAGCGAUCCGCUGGGGUGCAUGUGACGCUGAGGCGCGAAAGCGUGGGGAGCGAACAGG
rnacentral:rRNA from 1 species